rnacentral:misc_RNA from 1 species
UGAGUAUCAGCAGUACCAGGAUGCGACGGCUGAUGAGGAGGUGGACUAUGAGGAUGAAGAGGAACAGGAAGAAGUCUGAGGUUGGUUACUGCGUUUUGGGAGUGUCUGGUGUGCUGCAACUACCAGUUGCUAGUUUACACUAGCUCUGUAUGUUACUGCUUUUCUGUUAUCUUCUGUUUUGAUGUUUGGUAGUAUGGGUUUUGUGCUGAAAAGGUGUUAAAUUUCUG